rnacentral:lncRNA from 1 species
CCUCGGUGUUACUGCUGUGUGGACAACGGGAAGUACACGGGACGCGUGUGAGAGCAAUUUCAUUAAAAGCCCAUUAUGGCUUGGCUGUGUGGUGAGCCAUGCAAGCGAAUGACCAGCUGAAACACAUGUUACAGAAGAGUUCAUUCCCAGGAAGGCACGCUGCCUGUUUUGAUUGUAACCGACAUGCCAUGUGCUAAGAUGAA